CAUUCGGACAGCAAGCUCCCCGACGCCCAGGCCGCCUACGAGUUUUCGCUCACUGCCGCAGUGGCGGCUCUGGCCGGAGCAAAUAUCGUUUACGGCGCCG
rfam:Thermacetogenium phaeum DSM 12270, complete genome.